CUACACAUGCAGUCGAGCGGAUGAGUGGAGCUUGCUCCAUGAUUCAGCGGCGGACGGGUGAGUAAUGCCUAGGAAUCUGCCUAUUAGUGGGGGACAACGUUUCGAAAGGAACGCUAAUACCGCAUACGUCCUACGGGAGAAAGCAGGGGACCUUCGGGCCUUGCGCUAAUAGAUGAGCCUAGGUCGGAUUAGCUAGUUGGUGAGGUAAUGGCUCACCAAGGCGACGAUCCGUAACUGGUCUGAGAGGAUGAUCAGUCACACUGGAACUGAGACACGGUCCAGACUCCUACGGGAGGCAGCAGUGGGGAAUAUUGGACAAUGGGCGAAAGCCUGAUCCAGCCAUGCCGCGUGUGUGAAGAAGGUCUUCGGAUUGUAAAGCACUUUAAGUUGGGAGGAAGGGCAUUAACCUAAUACGUUAGUGUUUUGACGUUACCGACAGAAUAAGCACCGGCUAACUUCGUGCCAGCAGCCGCGGUAAUACGAAGGGUGCAAGCGUUAAUCGGAAUUACUGGGCGUAAAGCGCGCGUAGGUGGUUUGUUAAGUUGGAUGUGAAAGCCCCGGGCUCAACCUGGGAACUGCAUCCAAAACUGGCAAGCUAGAGUAUGGCAGAGGGUGGUGGAAUUUCCUGUGUAGCGGUGAAAUGCGUAGAUAUAGGAAGGAACACCAGUGGCGAAGGCGACCACCUGGGCUAAUACUGACACUGAGGUGCGAAAGCGUGGGAGCAAACAGGAUUAGAUACCCUGGUAGUCCACGCCGUAAACGAUGUCGACUAGCCGUUGGGAUCCUUGAGAUCUUAGUGGCGCAGCUAACGCAUUAAGUCGACCGCCUGGGGAGUACGGCCGCAAGGUUAAAACUCAAAUGAAUUGACGGGGGCCCGCACAAGCGGUGGAGCAUGUGGUUUAAUUCGAAGCAACGCGAAGAACCUUACCAGGCCUUGACAUGCAGAGAACUUUCCAGAGAUGGAUUGGUGCCUUCGGGAACUCUGACACAGUGCUGCAUGGCUGUCGUCAGCUC
rnacentral:rRNA from 1 species